AGUUAAGUGCCUGAAAAAGGGUAAUCUUGAUAGGAUUAAUUAUGUGGAAAAUUAGGUCCACCUUUGCUA
rnacentral:tRNA from 1 species